rnacentral:rRNA from 1 species
GUUGGCUUUACCUGAAGGCGGUGCGCUAAUCGCAAGGAGGCAGCUAACCACGGUAGGGUCAGCGACUGGGGUGAAGUCGUAACAAGGUAGCCGUAGGUGAACCUGCAGAAGGAUCA